rnacentral:misc_RNA from 1 species
GGAACAAAUAGGAAGAUUGGAAAAGGACAUUUGCACAACAAAAAAUUAGGAACAACGAAAACCGCUUUCUAAAACUGAAGGCCGUGUUCUCGUGCAGCAUCUGCAAGAGCUUCUAUCCUUCCGUGGUAAGGAUAACCUCCGCGAUCAAAGGCUACUUUCGUGAUCCCUUUCUCUAGACACGCCUUAGCUAUGACUUCCCCUACUUUCUUUGCCACUUCUGCAGUGGGACCAGCAGAGUAGUCGAAUUCCUCAGAGAUUGGUUUCUGCAUCGUUGAAGCUGAAGCCAGUGUGUGCAUCUUGGAGUCAUCAAUAACUUGAACAUAAAUAUGCUUGUUGGAACGGAAGACACACAUUCUUGGUCUUUCAGGUGUCCCUUCAACCUUCUUGCGAAUACGAAUAUGUCGAGCAGUUCUGUCCUCCCUUC